rnacentral:rRNA from 1 species
CCUACGGGUGGCAGCAGUGGGGAAUAUUGGGCAAUGGGCGAAAGCCUGACCCAGCAACGCCGCGUGAAGGAAGAAGGCUUUCGGGUUGUAAACUUCUUUUGACAGGGAAGAGCAGAAGACGGUACCUGUCGAAUAAGCCACGGCUAACCACGUGCCAGCAGCCGCGGUAAUACGGGGGUGGCAAGCGUUGUCCGGUUUUAUUGGGUUGAAGGGGUGUGCGGGCGGAAGAUCAAGUCAGCGGUAAAAUUGAGGGGCUCAACCUCUUCGGGCCGUUGAAACUGGUUUUCUUGAGUGAGCGAGAAGUAUGCGGAAUGCGUGGUGUAGCGGUGAAAUGCAUAGAUAUCACGCAGAACUCCGAUUGCGAAGGCAGCAUACCGGCGCUCAACUGACGCUCAUGCACGAAAGUGUGGGUAUCGAACAGGAUUAGAUACCCUUGUAGUC